rnacentral:rRNA from 1 species
GUGGAUUAGAUACCCUGGUAGUCCACGCCCUAAACGAUGUCUACUAGUUGUCGGGUCUUAAUUGACUUGGUAACGCAGCUAACGCGUGAAGUAGACCGCCUGGGGAGUACGGUCGCAAGAUUAAAACUCAAAGGAAUUGACGGGGACCCGCACAAGCGGUGGAUGAUGUGGAUUAAUUCGAUGCAACGCGAAAAACCUUACCUACCCUUGACAUGGCUGGAAUCCCUGAGAGAUCGGGGAGUGCUCGAAAGAGAACCAGUACACAGGUGCUGCAUGUUCGUCGUCAACU